rfam:Firmicutes bacterium CAG:110 genomic scaffold, scf83
ACAAUGAUACUUCUCUACGGAGCUGGCGGAGGACCCGGCAGGGGUGGAAGGCCCAUGG